rfam:Bacillus sp. OV166 genome assembly, contig: Ga0115450_11
ACGAUGUUCCGCUGCAAUAUAAUUAAGAGUUUGAUGUGCAUGAGCGUCUG